rnacentral:rRNA from 1 species
GACGAACGCUGGCGGCGUGCUUAACACAUGCAAGUCGAACGGACAGGCCCUGCUUUUGUGGUGUGCUCGAGUGGCGAACGGGUGAGUAACACGUGAGUAACCUGCCCUUGUCUUUGGGAUAACUUCAGGAAACUGGGGCUAUUAUCGGAUAUGAUCUCCUGCUGCAUGGUGGGGGUUGGAAAGUUUCGGCGGUUGGGGAUGGUCUCGCGGCUUACCAGCUUGUUUGUCGGGUAGUUGCUUACCAAGGCUUUGACGGAUAGCCGGCCUGAGAGGGUGGCCGGGCACAUUAGGACUGAGAUACGGCCCAGAAGCCUACGGGAGGCAACAGUGGGGAAUAUUACACAAUGGGCGGGAGCCUGAUGCAGCAACGCCGCGUGCGGGAUGACGGCCUUCGGGUUGUAAACCGAUUUCGCAUGUGACGAAGCGUGAGUGACGGUAAUGAGUAAAGAAGCACCGGCUAACUACGUG